rnacentral:rRNA from 1 species
UACGUAGGGGGCUAGCGUUGUCCGGAUUUAUUGGGCGUAAAGGGCUCGUAGGCGGCCAACUAAGUCAGACGUGAAAUCCCUCGGCUUAACCGGGGAACUGCAUCUGAUACUGGAUGGCUUGAGUUCGGGAGAGGGAUGCGGAAUUCCAGGUGUAGCGGUGAAAUGCGUAGAUAUCUGGAGGAACACCGGUGGCGAAGGCGGCAUCCUGGACCGGCACUGACGCUGAGGAGCGAAAGCCAGGGGAGCAAAGCGGG